rnacentral:rRNA from 1 species
AGUGAACGCUGGCGGUAGGCCUAACACAUGCAAGUCGAACGGCAGCACAGUAAGAGCUUGCUCUUACGGGUGGCGAGUGGCGGACGGGUGAGGAAUACAUCGGAAUCUACUUUUUCGUGGGGGAUAACGUAGGAAAAUUACGCUAAUAACGCAUACGACCUACGGGUGAAAGCAGGGGAUCUUCGGACCUUGCGCGGUUGAAUGAGGCGAUGUCGGAUUAGCUAGUUGGCGGGGUAAAGGCCCACCAAGGCGACGAUCCGUAGCUGGGCUGAGGGGAUGAUCAGCCACACUGGAACUGAGACACGGUCCAGACUCCUACGGGAGGCAGCAGUGGGGAAUAUUGGACAAUGGGCGCAAGCCUGAUCCAGCCAUACCGCGUGGGUGAAGAAGGCCUUCGGGUUGUAAAGCCCUUUUGUUGGGAAAGAAAAGCAGCAGGUUAAUACCCCGCUGUUCUGACGGUACCCAAAGAAUAAGCACCGGCUAACUUCGUG